UGCUAACAAACAAACACAAGUCAAGAAUAAGCGGCUUCUUUCUGUAAAAUUUUCCAAGCUUCUACAGAAAUACAGUAUUACACAACAAACUACAGUAGCUGAAGUGUGCAGGUAUUUCCGUUUUGACUGUAACUAUCUCUUUACAAACUGUAAAGAUUUUCUUAACUGAAGACAUCAAAAAUUUAACUGAUUUUUCACGAUCUUUUAGAGUUGUGGGAUUUCACCCAGUUUUGGAUCGCAAUCAAAUGCGCAAAAUAAACAAGCAGCUACUUUGUUUGCUGUAUAUUGAAAGUGGAAGGUUUUUGCAAAUUACGAAGUGAGAUUUCGCUCUACUUUGUGUCAUUGUGUUGUUUCACAGAUACCUCAGUUUCGGUUCAAUUGAAUCAUAUGACCCGGAUAACUUAGCGCUUUAUUGA